GGAUAAUCCAAAUAGCUCAACGCAUGCGUCGUAAUUUCAGGAACAAGCUGCUCCAUCAUCGACGCCCCUGUCAGUUUCUCCGCAGCCACUGUCACAGACACUUUCUCAACCAUUUCUUCCUCAAAACCACCAAAAACACUACUACCACUACUCCCUCCGUUCAAAACCGAAGUCUUAUCAAAACGUCCUCCUCCACAACUACCAUGCGAACAAGCACAGUUGCAGGAAUCCUCUCCGCCCUUCGUCCGCACCGAUUUUGAUCGGUGAGUCAAACAAGCGGCAGCGACGGCGAAAAAACAACAGAUUAACGUGACGGCGCCGGAGAAAAAACUAAUAUCCAUUCAUAAGUCAUGAAAAACUCGUCGUCGACGUUCAUAAAAGACCGAUUAGGGUUUCGGAGAAUUCAAUUUUGAAACCCUAUUUGUAUUACUGGAGUUCUAAAAAU
rnacentral:misc_RNA from 1 species